GAUGAACGCUGGCGGCGUGCCUAAUACAUGCAAGUCGAGCGAAUGACGAGGAGCUUGCUCCUCUGAUUUAGCGGCGGACGGGUGAGUAACACGUGGGUAACCUGCCUGUAAGACGGGGAUAACUCCGGGAAACCGGAGCUAAUACCGGAUGAUAACGAGAAGCGCCUGCUUCUUUUUUGAAAGUCGGUUUCGACUGACGCUUACAGAUGGGCCCGCGGCGCAUUAGCUAGUUGGUGAGGUAACGGCUCACCAAGGCGACGAUGCGUAGCCGACCUGAGAGGGUGAUCGGCAACACUGGGACUGAGACACGGCCCAGACUCCUACGGGAGGCAGCAGUAGGGAAUCUUCGGCAAUGGACGAAGGUCUGACCGAGCAACGCCGCGUGAGCGAUGAAGGCCUUCGGGUCGUAAAGCUCUGUUGUCAGAGAAGAACAAGUACCGGAGUAACUGCCGGUACCUUGACGGUACCUGACCAGAAAGCCACGGCUAACUACGUGCCAGCCGCCGCGGUAAUAC
rnacentral:rRNA from 1 species